AAUAUUGCACAAUGGGGUAAACCCUUAUGUAGCGACGCCGCGUGAGUGAAGAAGUAUUUCGGUAUGAAAAGCUCUAUCAGCAGGGACGAAAAUGACGGUACCUGACUAAGAAGCCCCGGCUAACUACUUGCCAGCAGCCGCGGUAAUACGUAGGGGGCAAGCGUUAUCCGGAUUUACUGGGUGUAAAGGGAGCGUAGUUGGUUCGGCAAGUCAGAUGUGAAAGCCCGGGGAUCAACGCGGGGACUGAAUUUGAAACUGUCGUACUAGAGUGCAGGAGAGGUAAGUGGAAUUCCUAGUGUAGCGGUGAAAUGCGUAGAUAUUAGGAGGAACACCAGUGGCGAAGGCGGCUUACUGGACUGUAAAUGACACUGAGGCUCGAAAGCGUGGGGAGCAAACAGG
rnacentral:rRNA from 1 species